GGUAACGUGACGGCCUCUCCACAGUAAGUGACGGCCUCCCCACAGGUAACGUGACGGCCCCCACAGGUAACGUGACGGCCUCCCCACAGGUAACGUGACGGCCUCCCCACAGGUAACGGGACGGCCUCCCCACAGGUAGGGACGGCCUCCCCACAGGUAAGGACGGCCUUCCCACAGGUAAGGACGGCCUCCCCACAGGUAACGGGACGGCCUCCCACAGGUAACGGACGGCCUUCCCCACAGGUAACGGGACGGCCUCCCCACAGGUAACGUGACGGCUCCCCACAGGUAACGUGACGCCUCGCCCAGUACGGCCUCCCACAGGUAACUGUGACGGGCCUCCCCAGGUAACGUGACGGCCUCCCCACAGGUAACGUGACGGCCUCCCACAGGUAACGGGACGGCCUCACCCCACAGGUAACUACGGCCCAUGGGUAGACGGCUCCCACAGGUAACGGG
rnacentral:lncRNA from 1 species